AUGAACGCUAGCUACAGGCUUAACACAUGCAAGUCGAGGGGCAGCAUGGUCUUAGCUUGCUAAGGCCGAUGGCGACCGGCGCACGGGUGAGUAACACGUAUCCAACCUGCCGUCUACUCUUGGACAGCCUUCUGAAAGGAAGAUUAAUACAAGAUGGCAUCAUGAGUCCGCAUGUUCACAUGAUUAAAGGUAUUCCGGUAGACGAUGGGGAUGCGUUCCAUUAGAUAGUAGGCGGGGUAACGGCCCACCUAGUCUUCGAUGGAUAGGGGUUCUGAGAGGAAGGUCCCCCACAUUGGAACUGAGACACGGUCCAAACUCCUACGGGAGGCAGCAGUGAGGAAUAUUGGUCAAUGGGCGAGAGCCUGAACCAGCCAAGUAGCGUGAAGGAUGACUGCCCUAUGGGUUGUAAACUUCUUUUAUAAAGGAAUAAAGUCGGGUAUGGAUACCCGUUUGCAUGUACUUUAUGAAUAAGGAUCGGCUAACUCCGUGCCAGCAGCCGCGGUAAUACGGAGGAUCCGAGCGUUAUCCGGAUUUAUUGGGUUUAAAGGGAGCGUAGAUGGAUGUUUAAGUCAGUUGUGAAAGUUUGCGGCUCAACCGUAAAAUUGCAGUUGAUACUGGAUAUCUUGAGUGCAGUUGAGGCAGGCGGAAUUCGUGGUGUAGCGGUGAAAUGCUUAGAUAUCACGAAGAACUCCGAUUGCGAAGGCAGCCUGCUAAGCUGCAACUGACAUUGAGGCUCGAAAGUGUGGGUAUCAAACAGGAUUAGAUACCCUGGUAGUCCACACGGUAAACGAUGAAUACUCGCUGUUUGCGAUAUACGGCAAGCGGCCAAGCGAAAGCGUUAAGUAUUCCACCUGGGGAGUACGCCGGCAACGGUGAAACUCAAAGGAAUUGACGGGGGCCCGCACAAGCGGAGGAACAUGUGGUUUAAUUCGAUGAUACGCGAGGAACCUUACCCGGGCUUAAAUUGCAGAUGAAUUACGGUGAAAGCCGUAAGCCGCAAGGCAUCUGUGAAGGGGCUGCAUGGUUGUCGUCAGCUCGUGCCGUGAGGUGUCGGCUUAAGUGCCAUAACGAGCGCAACCCUUGUUGUCAGUUACUAACAGGUUCCGCUGAGGACUCUGACAAGACUGCCAUCGUAAGAUGUGAGGAAGGUGGGGAUGACGUCAAAUCAGCACGGCCCUUACGUCCGGGGCUACACACGUGUUACAAUGGGGGGGUACAGAGGGCCGCUACCACGCGAGUGGAUGCCAAUCCCCAAAACCUCUCUCAGUUCGGACUGGAGUCUGCAACCCGACUCCACGAAGCUGGAUUCGCUAGUAAUCGCGCAUCAGCCACGGCGCGGUGAAUACGUUCCCGGGCCUUGUACACACCGCCCGUCAAGCCAUGGGAGCCGGGGGUACCUGAAGUGCGUAACCGCGAGGAGCGCCCUAGGGUAAAACUGGUGACUGGGGCU
rnacentral:rRNA from 1 species